rnacentral:rRNA from 1 species
GCAAUCUACCUUUUACAGAGGGAUAGCCCAGAGAAAUUUGGAUUAAUACCUCAUAGUAUGUGAGAAUGGCAUCAUUUUCACAUUAAAGUCACAACGGUAAAAGAUGAGCAUGCGUCCCAUUAGCUAGUUGGUAAGGUAACGGCUUACCAAGGCUACGAUGGGUAGGGGUCCUGAGAGGGAGAUCCCCCACACUGGUACUGAGACACGGACCAGACUCCUACGGGAGGCAGCAGUGAGGAAUAUUGGACAAUGGGCGCAAGCCUGAUCCAGCCAUGCCGCGUGCAGGAUGACGGUCCUAUGGAUUGUAAACUGCUUUUGCACAGGAAGAAACAACUCUACGUGUAGAGUCUUGACGGUACUGUGAGAAUAAGGAUCGGCUAACUCCGUGCCAGCAGCCGCGGUAAUACGGAGGAUCCAAGCGUUAUCCGGAAUCAUUGGGUUUAAAGGGUCCGUAGGCGGUUUAGUAAGUCAGUGGUGAAAGCCCAUCGCUCAACGGUGGAACGGCCAUUGAUACUGCUAGACUUGAAUUAUUAGGAAGUAACUAGAAUAUGUAGUGUAGCGGUGAAAUGCUUAGAGAUUACAUGGAAUACCAAUUGCGAAGGCAGGUUACUACUAAUGGAUUGACGCUGAUGGACGAAAGCGUGGGUAGCGAACAGGAUUAGAUACCCUGGUAGUCCACGCCGUAAACGAUGGAUACUAGCUGUUGGGAGCGAUCUCAGUGGCUAAGCGAAAGUGAUAAGUAUCCCACCUGGGGAGUACGUUCGCAAGAAUGAAACUCAAAGGAAUUGACGGGGGCCCGCACAAGCGGUGGAGCAUGUGGUUUAAUUCGAUG